rnacentral:rRNA from 1 species
UACGUAGGGUGCAAGCGUUGUCCGGAAUUAUUGGGCGUAAGGAGCUCGUAGGCGGUCUGUCGCGUCGGCUGUGAAAACUCGGGGCUCAACCCCGAGCCUGCAGUCGAUACGGGCAGACUAGAGUGCUGUAGGGGAGACUGGAAUUCCUGGUGUAGCGGUGAAAUGCGCAGAUAUCAGGAGGAACACCGGUGGCGAAGGCGGGUCUCUGGGCAGUAACUGACGCUGAGGAGCGAAAGCGUGGGGAGCGAACAGG